rnacentral:lncRNA from 1 species
UCUAUUCCACAAAAAAAUGGCCUUGAGAUGAGGAAAGAUACAGUACUGUGGUAUAAAUAUGACAUCAGCAAUAUCAUACAAGUAAGGGCCUGUUGCAGUGUGAAGCUGAAGUGCAAAGAGGCGUCUACAUGGCAUUCUCUUGAAGCUGGAAGCCUGCCAGAGAGACACACAUCCCUGCCACCCAUGUGGGACCCCUUCCGAGUUAGGUUCUCUUCCAUGCAGAAGACUGAGUAUUUGAAUACAAUGAAACUCCACAGACUCUUUGCUACUCCACUGCUCUUCCUAGUUUAGCAGAAGAUGAUAAAUCAGAGAGCUGUAUGAAAAUCAGGAGCAGAGAAGAGGCCUUGUUUCUUGUUACUAUAUGCAUCUUUGCAUCUUAGAGGAGAAACCAUGGGGAAAUAUACAUGAUAAAGUUGUCAAAAUGGUGACUAAUGCUUAGAGCACAGGAUUGGACAAUUGCAGAAUAAUCUGGAAGUGGGUGUGAUAAAACCACCACCAGAUGAUGGCAUUCAAAGAUGUAAGAUGUCACCACUGGAAGUAAUACAAGUUUACAGUAGAGAUGCUGGACCAGUGACUUGUGGUAGGAUAAAAAUGUGAGUGUGAUGUAAACUGAAGCAGAAUAUUUAAAAAAAAAAUAAAUAGUGAAAUGCUAAUGUUACCA